rnacentral:tRNA from 1 species
GCUUAUGUGGCUCAGUCGGUAGAGCACCGCCUUGGUAAGGCGGAGGUCGGCGGUUCAAGUCCGCUCGUAAGCUCCA